rnacentral:rRNA from 1 species
CCUACGGGCGGCAGCAGUGAGGAAUAUUGGUCAAUGGGCGCGAGCCUGAACCAGCCAAGUAGCGUGAAGGAUGACUGCCCUACGGGUUGUAAACUUCUUUUAUAAAGGAAUAAAGUGAGGCACGUGUGCCUUUUUGUAUGUACCUUAUGAAUAAGGAUCGGCUAACUCCGUGCCAGCAGCCGCGGUAAUACGGAGGAUCCGAGCGUUAGCCGGAUUUAUUUGGUUUAAAGGGAGCGUAGAUGGGUUGUUAAGUCAGUUGUGAAAGUUUGCGGCUCAACCGUAAAAAUGCAAUGGAUACUGGCAGCCGUGAGUGCAGGUGAGGUAGGUGGAAUUCGUGGUGUAGCGGUGAAAUGCUUAGAUAUCACGAAGAACUCCGAUUGCGAAGGCAGCCUACUAAACUGCCACUGACGUUGAUGCUCGAAAGUGUGGGGAUCAAACAGGAUUAGAUACCCCAGUAGUC